rnacentral:rRNA from 1 species
GAUGAACGCUGGCGGCGUGCCUAAUACAUGCAAGUCGAGCGAACAGACGAGGAGCUUGCUCCUCUGACGUUAGCGGCGGACGGGUGAGUAACACGUGGAUAACCUACCUAUAAGACUGGGAUAACUUCGGGAAACCGGAGCUAAUACCGGAUAAUAUAUUGAACCGCAUGGUUCAAUAGUGAAAGACGGUUUUGCUGUCACUUAUAGAUGGAUCCGCGCCGCAUUAGCUAGUUGGUAAGGUAACGGCUUACCAAGGCAACGAUGCGUAGCCGACCUGAGAGAGGGAUCGGCCACACUGGAACUGAGACACGGUCCAGACUCCUACGGGAGGCAGCAGUAGGGAAUCGUCCGCAAUGGGCGAAAGCUUGACGGAGCAACGCCGCGUGAGUGAUGAAGGUCUUCGGAUCGUAAAGCUCUGUUAUUAGGGAAGAACAAAUGUGUAAGUAACUAUGCACGUCUUGACGGUACCUAAUCAGAAAGCCACGGCUAACUACGUG